rnacentral:piRNA from 1 species
UAUUAAAACUCACCCAAUCCUACCCUUUAA